rnacentral:rRNA from 1 species
AUUGAACGCUGGCGGUAUGCUUAACACAUGCAAGUCGAACGGUAGCAGGCCUUCGGGCGCUGACGAGUGGCGGACGGGUGAGUAACGCGUAGGAAUCUGCCUGGUAGUGGGGGACAACUUAGGGAAACUUAAGCUAAUACCGCAUACGCUCCUUGUUGCAAGAUGGGGGAGGAAAGCGGGGGAUCUUCGGACCUCGCGCUAUCAGAUGAGCCUGCGUUAGAUUAGCUAGUUGGUGGGGUAAAGGCCUACCAAGGCGACGAUCAGUAGCGGGUCUGAGAGGAUGAUCCGUCACACUGGAACUGAGACACGGUCCAGACUCCUACGGGAGGCAG